UUCUGUGUAAUCUAAAGUGAAGCAGGAGUAGAAACUAUGAGUAAACGGGAAGUGUGGGUCUGCAAGGAGAGGAGAAGCAGACACUCAAGGAAAUGCAAAAACGUCAAGAGAAAGACGGUCCCUGAAGGAGAGAAAGAGAGAGAGAAAGGGAAGAGCUGGCCAGGAGGAGGACACAUGCUUCCAGCCAGCUUGCACUGGAGCAGGAGCCCCACCCCUCCUCAGGACUGUCAGGGAAGCGAGGUCUAACCAAAAUGUGCUGAGACUCCAGGAAGCCGGCAGAAAGCAGGAACAGCUGGACGCCAAAGAGCCCAGCAGAUACUCAUUCACAACUGUCUGGGGCCGAGAAGACGCAGCCUGAAAUGAACAGUUUACGAGUGUAUCCCAAAACCUAGAAGUACAGAAGGCGGUGGAAGAUCCUGGAACUUGCUCUGGCUUUGGGGAUGUGGCAUUGAGCCGAAACUCCCUUCGAAUUCCUCUUCAGACACUCUGAAAUCAUCACGGUAUCUGGCAAUCCCCCGGAACUUCAGGUACUCAUCUUCAAUGAUCAUUUCUUUAAAUGCCACCUUUCUUUCUUUCUUUCUUUUUUUAAAGUAAAUUCUACCCCCAACGUGGGGCUCAAGCUCACGACCCCAGGGCUCUCCCGACUGAGGCAGCCAGGCGCCCCUGCAGGAUCCCCUCUCUGAGGACGGGCCUUGGUGCUCAUCCUCAUGCUUCACUUGGAGGGUA